GACGAACGCUGGCGGCGCGCCUAACACAUGCAAGUCGAACGAGCGAGAGAGAGCUUGCUUUCUUGAGCGAGUGGCGAACGGGUGAGUAACGCGUGAGGAACCUGCCUCAAAGAGGGGGACAACAGUUGGAAACGACUGCUAAUACCGCAUAAGCCCACGGUGCCGCAUGGCACAGAGGGAAAAGGAGCAAUCCGCUUUGAGAUGGCCUCGCGUCCGAUUAGCUAGUUGGUGAGGUGACGGCCCACCAAGGCGACGAUCGGUAGCCGGACUGAGAGGUUGAACGGCCACAUUGGGACUGAGACACGGCCCAGACUCCUACGGGAGGCAGCAGUGGGGAAUAUUGCACAAUGGGGGAAACCCUGAUGCAGCGACGCCGCGUGGAGGAAGAAGGUCUUCGGAUUGUAAACUCCUGUUGUUGGGGAAGAUAAUGACGGUACCCAACAAGGAAGUGACGGCUAACUACGUG
rnacentral:rRNA from 1 species